rnacentral:rRNA from 1 species
CCCUUAGAUGUUCUGGGCAGCACGCGCGCUACAAUGGUCUUCGCAAACGGAUGCAUUCUCGAAGGAGAAUGCCAAUCUUGGGAUCUAUGCCUUGGUCGGGACAGUUGCUUGCAAUUUUUCGACUCGAACCAGGAAUUCCUUGUAAUCGUGAUUCAUCACGUCACGAUGAAUACGUCCCUGCCCUUUGUACACACCGCCCGUCGCUCCUACCGAUCGAAGAGUUAGGUGAAUUGUUUUGAUCGAUAAGAUUUGACUAUGGUCAACUCUCGUUGUGAAAUUCUGUGAAUCUGACUGUUUAGAGGAAGGAAAAGUCGUAACA